rnacentral:rRNA from 1 species
CUACCGUGACCAGGUAGAAAGAAGCAGAAUCGGAAGAGUUUGAUCAUGGCUCAGGACGAACGCUGGCGGCGUGCUUAACACAUGCAAGUCGAACGGAAAGGCCCUGCUUUUGUGGGGUGCUCGAGUGGCGAACGGGUGAGUAACACGUGAGUAACCUGCCCUUGACUUUGGGAUAACUUCAGGAAACUGGGGCUAAUACCGGAUAGGAGCUCCUGCUGCAUGGUGGGGGUUGGAAAGUUUCGGCGGUUGGGGAUGGACUCGCGGCUUAUCAGCUUGUUGGUGGGGUAGUGGCUUACCAAGGCUUUGACGGGUAGCCGGCCUGAGAGGGUGACCGGCCACAUUGGGACUGAGAUACGGCCCAGACUCCUACGGGAGGCAGCAGUGGGGAAUAUUGCACAAUGGGCGGAAGCCUGAUGCAGCAACGCCGCGUGCGGGAUGACGGCCUUCGGGUUGUAAACCGCUUUCGCCUGUGACGAAGCGUGAGUGACGGUAAUGGGUAAAGAAGCACCGGCUAACUACGUGCCAGCAGCCGCGGUGAUACGUAGGGUGCGAGCGUUGUCCGGAUUUAUUGGGCGUAAAGGGCUCGUAGGUGGUUGAUCGCGUCGGAAGUGUAAUCUUGGGGCUUAACCCUGAGCGUGCUUUCGAUACGGGUUGACUUGAGGAAGGUAGGGGAGAAUGGAAUUCCUGGUGGAGCGGUGGAAUGCGCAGAUAUCAGGAGGAACACCAGUGGCGAAGGCGGUUCUCUGGGCCUUUCCUGACGCUGAGGAGCGAAAGCGUGGGGAGCGAACAGGCUUAGAUACCCUGGUAGUCCACGCUGUAAACGGUGGGUACUAGGUGUGGGGUCCAUUCCACGGGUUCCGUGCCGUAGCUAACGCUUUAAGUACCCCGCCUGGGGAGUACGGCCGCAAGGCUAAAACUCAAAGGAAUUGACGGGGCCCCGCACAAGCGGCGGAGCAUGCGGAUUAAUUCGAUGCAACGCGUAGAACCUUACCUGGGUUUGACAUGGAUCGGGAGUGCUCAGAGAUGGGUGUGCCUCUUUUGGGGUCGGUUCACAGGUGGUGCAUGGCUGUCGUCAGCUCGUGUCGUGAGAUGUUGGGUUAAGUCCCGCAACGAGCGCAACCCUUGUUCACUGUUGCCAGCACGUUAUGGUGGGGACUCAGUGGAGACCGCCGGGGUCAACUCGGAGGAAGGUGGGGAUGACGUCAAGUCAUCAUGCCCCUUAUGUCCAGGGCUUCACGCAUGCUACAAUGGCUGGUACAGAGAGUGGCGAGCCUGUGAGGGUGAGCGAAUCUCGGAAAGCCGGUCUCAGUUCGGAUUGGGGUCUGCAACUCGACCUCAUGAAGUCGGAGUCGCUAGUAAUCGCAGAUCAGCAACGCUGCGGUGAAUACGUUCCCGGGGCUUGUACACACCGCCCGUCAAGUCAUGAAAGUUGGUAACACCCGAAGCCGGUGGCCUAACCGUUGUGGGGGAGCCGUCGAAGGUGGGACUGGUGAUUAGGACUAAGUCGUAACAAGGUAACCGUCCGAUUCUGCUUCUUUCUACCUGGUCACGG